GGUGGUCAGUGUUCAAACCUUAUAUGAUUCAAUCUUGCCAAAGAUACGGGUGAAGGGUACGAAUUGCAUAUUGUUAAUAUAACUUAGGUAGGAUGAGUUGUACACUGGAUAAUGUUGGGUCCAAAGUCUUAGGAUUAGGAUAUGAGUAGUGGGUACAAGUCGUAACAAAGGGUACAACUCGUGAGGGUCAGUCGUACCCCCGGGG
rnacentral:lncRNA from 1 species